rnacentral:rRNA from 1 species
AUUGGGGUGAAGUCGUAACAAGGUAGCCGUAUCGGAAGGUGCGGCUGGAUCACCUCCUUUCUAAGGGAAAGCCCUCUGGGAAACAGGGGGAGAGGCAGGGGCGACCCUGCCGGCGCCUGGCAACAGGCGCACAAGGCAGUACUGGUCUGGGAACAGACGAGGGCGACUCCAUCGCCGAUACGGGUUUAGUUUUGAGGGAUCGACGGGCAGGCGUGAGCCUGUUGUUGAUGCUUCAAGUGGCUCCUUGACAACUAGAUAGCGAAUCAUGAGAGAAGAACAGGGUGAGACGGGGAAGGCGGCGCGAGUCGUCCGAAGCGCAGGGUCCUGGAUCCGUUGUCGACGAGCAAGCAGCGGCGUCGCGUGGGAUCGAAGAAGGCGAAGGAGA